CGACUUUAAUUGGCGUAAAGUUUAUCAACCAGAGCCUAUUUACAGGCUUGUAAGGUCUCUAGUUUUGUCUGCAGCCGCAUGAGGUGAAAUAAAGGUUUGUAGAGCCGAUAGAUGGAAACACCUACAAACAGUGGAGGACUUCUCCAGGUCACGUGACGGCUGAGGGCGAGGCUGUUGAGCAGCAGGACGACCAGACACCUUCACAUUCAGAUGCUGAUAUAAGUGACCACCAAACAGAGACAAAACAGCUUUCCUUUGCAGAGGUGAUGCAGUUUGUUCAGGAGGGGAAAGACGUUCCUGGAGUGAAAAAACUUGACAUACGAGCAAGCAACCAGAGUGCAACUCCCUCUAAAAUGAAACGGCUCUUGAAACCCUGGGAAACGACUUCAGCUUAAGUUACCCUUUCAUUCUUUGGCACACUGUGUGGGUUUAGUGCCGUCUUCAGGAGGCCGAGCAGUUGGAUGCUGAGAAGCAUCAAGUUUUCCCUUCUACAGAGUGAAUCAGAAGCAGUGAUCAGAGUGUCAAUCAGACAUUUUAUUUUAAAUGUGUUUUAACAGAGACAAGAAACUUUCAAGUGUUUUUGAACUUCUGAACUGAACUGAAUUUCUUAAAGUUCUUAAAGCCAGUCAGUAAGCCGAGUGACGGAUGCUGACCUUCAGCGCUGUCUAGUGGACACUUUUGGAGUGACGACAUCCAAUAAUAAAUUAUUCAAUCUAAAAUCAUCUCUUGUGUGACUCAGGCUGUUGAACAGUCAUUAAGACAAACAAAAACCACAAAUAACAUAUGAAUUUAAAAUGUCAUGCC